AUUAAACAUUCGUCAAAAUAAAUCAUUUUCUCAGCAUGUAUAAAAUACAGAUUGUGCCAAGUCUAAAUAGGUUCAUAACUGAAGUUUGCAGGGAAGGAUACAAAAAUUCAGAUUUCUUGCUAGAAAAUUAUCAAAUAAUUCGGAAAAGUAUGAAGGUUUUUGCACUUCUGGUCAUUCUCGUUGCUCUAUUCAUUGGGCUAACAACGAGUCAAAAGCAUGGGGCGUCGUGUACUCACACUGGAAUCAAACCGAAAGACGAUUCCGUGUGUUCUGGAAAUCUGCUCUGCGGGAUAUCCAAUACCUGCGUCUGCCCAGACACUUAUGGGUCCUCCCCAUUGAAUUUCAACAUUGCUGCUGAUGGAUUAUCGUGUGUGGAGCGAUCUUAAGUUUUUAUUUGCAAAACUGAAUAUUAAAUCCUUACAUAUGUACAUAUUUAAAUUCAAACGGGUAUCGGAAAAAAUCUGUCGGACUUUUUAUACAAUAGUUUUAAAACGUGUAAUGAUUUCGAAUUAUUCUAUUUCGUAUAAUUUACUCAUCAUAAUUUGUUCAUGUUACAAAAUUUUAUCAAAAUUGAUUUCAUAAAACAUGCAAUAAAAAAUCUUUAGUUAUGUAA